AGAGUUUGAUCCUGGCUCAGGAUGAACGCUAGCUACAGGCUUAACACAUGCAAGUCGAGGGGCAGCAUUUUAGUUUGCUUGCAAACUGAAGAUGGCGACCGGCGCACGGGUGAGUAACACGUAUCCAACCUGCCGAUAACUCCGGGAUAGCCUUUCGAAAGAAAGAUUAAUACCGGAUAGCAUACGAAUAUCGCAUGAUAUUUUUAUUAAAGAAUUUCGGUUAUCGAUGGGGAUGCGUUCCAUUAGUUUGUUGGCGGGGUAACGGCCCACCAAGACUACGAUGGAUAGGGGUUCUGAGAGGAAGGUCCCCCACAUUGGAACUGAGACACGGUCCAAACUCCUACGGGAGGCAGCAGUGAGGAAUAUUGGUCAAUGGGCGAGAGCCUGAACCAGCCAAGUAGCGUGAAGGAUGAAGGCUCUAUGGGUCGUAAACUUCUUUUAUAUGGGAAUAAAGUAUUCCACGUGUGGAAUUUUGUAUGUACCAUAUGAAUAAGGAUCGGCUAACUCCGUGCCAGCAGCCGCGGUAAUACGGAGGAUCCGAGCGUUAUCCGGAUUUAUUGGGUUUAAAGGGAGCGUAGGUGGAUUGUUAAGUCAGUUGUGAAAGUUUGCGGCUCAACCGUAAAAUUGCAGUUGAAACUGGCAGUCUUGAGUACAGUAGAGGUGGGCGGAAUUCGUGGUGUAGCGGUGAAAUGCUUAGAUAUCACGAAGAACUCCGAUUGCGAAGGCAGCUCACUAGACUGUUACUGACACUGAUGCUCGAAAGUGUGGGUAUCAAACAGGAUUAGAUACCCUGGUAGUCCACACAGUAAACGAUGAAUACUCGCUGUUUGCGAUAUACAGUAAGCGGCCAAGCGAAAGCAUUAAGUAUUCCACCUGGGGAGUACGCCGGCAACGGUGAAACUCAAAGGAAUUGACGGGGGCCCGCACAAGCGGAGGAACAUGUGGUUUAA
rnacentral:rRNA from 1 species